UACGUAGGGUCCGAGCGUUGUCCGGAAUUAUUGGGCGUAAAGAGCUCGUAGGCGGUUUGUCGCGUCUGCUGUGAAAUCUGGAGGCUCAACCUCCAGCCUGCAGUGGGUACGGGCAGACUAGAGUGCGGUAGGGGAGAAUGGAAUUCCUGGUGUAGCGGUGGAAUGCGCAGAUAUCAGGAGGAACACCGAUGGCGAAGGCAGUUCUCUGGGCCGUAACUGACGCUGAGGAGCGAAAAGCGUGGGGAGCGAACAGG
rnacentral:rRNA from 1 species